rnacentral:rRNA from 1 species
AUGGGGGGCGUGCCUAAUACAUGCAAGUCGAGCGAACGGAUAAGGAGCUUGCUCCUUUGAAGUUAGCGGCGGACGGGUGAGUAACACGUGGGUAACCUACCUAUAAGACUGGAAUAACUUCGGGAAACCGGAGCUAAUGCCGGAUAACAUAUAGAACCGCAUGGUUCUAUAGUGAAAGAUGGUUUUGCUAUCACUUAUAGAUGGACCCGCGCCGUAUUAGCUAGUUGGUAAGGUAAUGGCUUACCAAGGCGACGAUACGUAGCCGACCUGAGAGGGUGAUCGGCCACACUGGAACUGAGACACGGUCCAGACUCCUACGGGAGGCAGCAGUAGGGAAUCUUCCGCAAUGGGCGAAAGCCUGACGGAGCAACGCCGCGUGAGUGAUGAAGGUUUUCGGAUCGUAAAACUCUGUUAUUAGGGAAGAACAAAUGCGUAAGUAACUGUGCGCAUCUUGACGGUACCUAAUCAGAAAGCCACGGCUAACUACGUGCCAGCAGCCGCGGUAAUACGUAGGUGGCAAGCGUUAUCCGGAAUUAUUGGGCGUAAAGCGCGCGUAGGCGGUUUCUUAAGUCUGAUGUGAAAGCCCACGGCUCAACCGUGGAGGGUCAUUGGAAACUGGGAAACUUGAGUGCAGAAGAGGAAAGUGGAAUUCCAUGUGUAGCGGUGAAAUGCGCAGAGAUAUGGAGGAACACCAGUGGCGAAGGCGACUUUCUGGUCUGUAACUGACGCUGAUGUGCGAAAGCGUGGGGAUCAAACAGGAUUAGAUACCCUGGUAGUCCACGCCGUAAACGAUGAGUGCU